CUCUGUUUCAGAAUUACAAACAAAGAUGGCGGCGGAUGGAUAGUUGCAACUUGAAAUGAUGAUUACAAAAAGUCUUGAAGAAUUCUAACAAUGCCAUCAGCUCAGCGCAACAGUAGAGAAACGACAGAACAUAUGGGGAGAGAGAGUUGAGGAAUAACAUCCCCUGCCAUGCAGCGAACCACACAAUGAGCUUCACUUUGCAUAUGCUGGUACAGACUGACGGUGUAUUUGUCCUGGAUGGAAAAGUAAAAUCCUUCUCAUCAUCUUCCUCCUACUGCUUUCCCAAAAAGGUCAAGGGGUUGCCACUUAGCCCGGAGGAAGAAAAGCACAUGUGACACAGGAUCCUUGCAGGGCUAAUGGUCAUUACUCGAGCAGACGACCCCGCCCUCCCUCCGCCACCCUCAGACCUGCUGCUGGAGGUUCAGAAACCCACUUCCUGGUAUUUCGUCUCAAGGACUUCUUAAACACUGCCCUGGGCGUCCCUCCGGGGAAACAAAACAUGCUAGAGAGAGGAAGGGAAACAGUGGCUUAAUGUGAUCUGAGGACAACAACAACAACAAUGCCUGGAAAGUUUACCUACCGGGCCGCAAUCUGCCAUGAUGUGUUUCCAGUCCUACAGGUGCCAGGAAAUACGCCUCAGGCACGCUGUAGCAUUCAUUCAGAAAUGUGAUACUGUAAAUGCAUAGGAAAGUGCUCGAAACGUGUGAAACUGAGUAUAUACAUGUAUACGCAUGUGUGAAUGUUUUAGGCGUUUUAUGUGUGAAUGUUUUAGGCGUUUUAUGUAAAGUGUGUGUGGUUUGUGCUGUGCCCUUACUGUUAAGUCUGUUAGAGACAGAGAGAAAAUGAGACUUUUCUGCAACACUAUAUGACUAUAUGCUUGGAUGUGUUUUGGUGUUUGCCUCCAUCAUAUGUCUGUUAUUAGAGGUUAUAAGUCUCAGUCUCAGGUAGAAAUGUGAUAUUUUUUUUCUUCUUUUUUUUUUUUUAACAGAGCACAGUGUUUUAAAAAUCUAGAGAGGGUGAGUGAAUCUCUUCUCUAAACCAGCACAGAGAAAGAGCACAAGUGGCACCUAGUGGACUGCAGCAGUGCUGCACCCUGUCUUGAAGAGAGGCUGUUUCAGGCAUGGCUUGCUUUCUCACUUACUGACUUGGUGACCUGAGCAACAGGUCUAGGGUCUCUUGUUUUACUCCACUUCUUAAGGUUGACCUUUAU